rnacentral:rRNA from 1 species
CCUACGGGAGGCAGCAGUGGGGAAUAUUGGACAAUGGGCGAAAGCCUGAUCCAGCCAUGCCGCGUGUGUGAAGAAGGCCUUCGGGUUGUAAAGCACUUUCAGUGGGGAAGAAAGCCUUGGGGCUAAUACCCUCGAGGAAGGACAUCACCCACAGAAGAAGCACCGGCUAACUCCGUGCCAGCAGCCGCGGUAAUACGGAGGGUGCGAGCGUUAAUCGGAAUUACUGGGCGUAAAGCGCGCGUAGGCGGUCUGAUAAGCCGGUGGUGAAAGCCCCGGGCUCAACCUGGGAACGGCAUCCGGAGGUGACAGCUGAGCGGGAAGGAAAGGAAGGUAAACGGCCGGGUGGGGGGGAGAAUUGGGAAGGGUUCGGGGGGAAUACGGGGGGGGGAGGGGGCCUUUGGGACUACCCGUGACUCGAGGGGGCAAACGCGGGGAUGCAAAAAGGGUUGGAAUCCCUUAUAAGUC